AUUUCACCCCUUCAUCUCGAUCUGAAGAUACAACUUUGUUGCCAUUAAUCUCUUCUGCUACUGUUAAGAUAGAUGAUUCCACCUUAUAACCUAUUUUGACGGUGAUAAUGAAAACCAUACCUUUUUUUUUAUCGCCCACAUACAGCUUCUCUUCCUCUUUACUCUCUUUCUCUUCUUCUACGAUCCAACUCCACAUCCCAUAAUCCUUAUGCUUGAGCACAACUACCAUCACCGAUUCAAUCACCACUAGGACUACCUUUCUUCUUCUUAGGACUCGAUCUCUUGUUGAAUCUCUUUGGUAGAAAUCGUAGAUCCAGUAUUUCUAUUUUUUAUCUAGGGUUUCAAUUAUGGAGAUGAGCAAGAGAUUACUUUGAAUGAUCUACAGGAGGAUUCAAAUUGAAAAACAUAUGUAGUAAACCAUUUCCCAAUUUAAAGUCGUUCUUAAUCAGAUGCAGGAACUCCCAUAAGUAUUUCAAUUUGUGAACCUUCUCUCUUUGCCUUAGCAAACUGUAGAGUUUUUGAUUUUGAGAUUUCUGCGGAAGUAUAGCUACUCUCCUGAAUUCAGGGACGUAAUGUUGAGAACAUAGCUUUGGUGCACCUAAAGAUGGUAUCACCGUUGAUAAAAGCAUUGAGUUUAAGGACAGAGUUAAGAACAUUGGUGCCAGCCUUGUAAAGCAAGUAGCAAAUUCCACCAACAAUGUAGCUGGUGAUGAACACUCGUGGAUUCACUUGGCCUUCUUCGUUUGACCAGAAAAGAUAAAAGGCAGGAAACCUGAACAUUCUUGGUUGGCUAAGGGUAAUGUUCGAUUUUCAGAAAGACAAUGUUAGGCAUCACAGGGAACAGAAACCAAAUAGCCAUAUACGACAGGUACCCAAGCCUAAUCCCUUUAACAAGGUAUAUGAAUUUUUUCCUACUCACGUGGCUAGCUUUGCAAUGGUGGCGUCUUGGCCUACCUUGGUAAUGCUCUCUAGAUCUCCACGUUCAACUCAAAUGUCUAUUGGCUAUCGUGAAGCUUUCCAUUUAGUUAUCGGGGUUGCUGAACAAGGACCCAACAAUCAUGGGACGUCGAAUUGCUUUUUGGGAAAAGGAUAGAAUUAUACUAAAGUGCACAAACAGAUAUUGAGUAAGAUAAGAAGCAAAUGGAUUCAGGUUUCUAAAUCUGAUAAUUGUGAAGUCUGCUUUCAAGAGAUUAGUAAAUUCUAAGAAAUUUAUGUUUGCCUAAGGAAUUUACUGAAUUAGAUUCUUCAGUUGAUCGACAAAGCAGGAAAUUUCGUCAGUGAUGACAUUUGGUACAGUGGUGUGCAGUUUGUCACAAGCAACAAAGAUCUACAGCAGCAAAAGCUGGAGAGUAUCUCGACAAGCCCGUUAUACAUGAAACAAUGGUCAAGGUGUGCAUGUGGACCUUCUUUAUUCAAGAUUUAAGUUUGUCAAAGAGAAUGUUCGAUUAGUUGACUUUGGUUGUUACUAGUGUGUACUGAUUAAUGAUUUUUUUGGGUUGUAGUAAUGAGGUUCAAACUCUCGGACUUGUGAAGAUUAAAUUUAAAGAUUUAAUAAAAUUAUAUACAAAAUUAUUAA